GACGAACGCUGGCGGCGUGCUUAACACAUGCAAGUCGAACGGAAAGGCCCUGCUUUUGUGGGGUGCUCGAGUGGCGAACGGGUGAGUAACACGUGAGUAACCUGCCCUUGACUUUGGGAUAACUUCAGGAAACUGGGGCUAAUACCGGAUAGGAGCUCCUGCUGCAUGGUGGGGGUUGGAAAGUUUCGGCGGUUGGGGAUGGACUCGCGGCUUAUCAGCUUGUUGGUGGGGUAGUGGCUUACCAAGGCUUUGACGGGUAGCCGGCCUGAGAGGGUGACCGGCCACAUUGGGACUGAGAUAGCGCCCGGACUCCUACGGGAGGCAGGAGUGGGGAAUAUGGCACAAGGGGCGGAAGCCGUAGGCAGAAACCCCGGGGGGGGGAAGCCGGCCUUCGGGUUGGAAACCGCUUUCGCCUGUGACGAAGCGUGGGUGACGGUAAUGGGAAAAGAAGCCCCGGCUAACUACGU
rnacentral:rRNA from 1 species